UCAUCAUUUGGAACAUCAUUGUGGUAUAGAAGAGUUUACCCUUGCUGGAGCUUGCUGAACUGAUUUGUAUCUAAAGCAUCAAAAUUUGGAAAGGUUAAUUUAUUCUUAAAUAUUAUCCUUAGAGACAUAUACAGAUUCAUAAGCAUAUAGAUAAACCUUACAUAUUCUUAAACUUACAGAUUUAGUUUUUAAAUUAUAAUUUAAUUAUAGUAUUUAUACCUUUAAUUUCUUACCUCCAAACACUCGCAUACUCUCCCUCCUUUCACUCAAAUUGAUGAACUAUUUCUCAAUAAUUGUUAUUGAAUGUAUUCAUGUAUUUAUAUAUACCUAUUUAUUCCCAAAAUAUAUUCUGCUAAGCCUCUAUACUGUUACUUGUUUGUGUGUUUAUAGAAUUGCUGAUUGGUGCUAGAUAACCAAGUGGUGUGUUCUUCCAGAGGUGCUUUCCUCUGGCUUUCCUCAGUUGCAUAUAGUUCUUUGUGUAGGAUUGAGGAAUCAUGGGAUUUUUUUGAAAUGUAAUUGAAAUUUAACAGUCAUCCAUGCAAAUAACUGCUUACAAUAUCUAUAUAAAAAUGUGGCAGAACAUUGUCUAAUUAUUUUAGAAGGACACACAAAUGUAAUAAGGUUCAUAUUUUAUGCUGUACAUUGGAUUGAUAAAUUUUGAGUGAUGGUAAACAUUUUAAACAUGAUUUCACAUUUUUGUUUUAUUUUUAACCUUAAGGUAAUCUAAUAUUAUCGUAUUUAUAACUGGGAAAUUUUCCCAUUUUCAAAAAUAAAUUUGUUUACUUUUAGGUGGAAGAAAACUUUACUCAUUUAUUGUGCACUUAUGAAUAUAAAAAUGGUAUUCUCAAAGUUAAAGUUUUUGUGCUUCUAGGAUCCUAGAUGGCCAUUUGAUCUUGUAGAAAAUAUUAUAUAUUUAUAUGAUAAUAUUUUAUCAUCAUUCAGUUCACAUUGAUUUUUCAUAAUAUAUAAAUGGAGGUUUUAAAUUAUUUCCUUAUAAAAGUAAGUUUAUGUAAUUUAUGUACGCAUAACAUUCCCACCAUAGUGUUAAUCAGAAUAUGAUAUAGGCUAGGGAAUAAUAUUGACCAGGUAUAAAUAAUGUUUAAAAAUGCUUUUUAUUUAGAGAUAACAAAUGUAAGUUUCAUGCAUUGUUGUGAUGGUCAUUGUGUGUUCUGCCUUUUCUUUGACUUUUGAUGUGAUUGUUUUGUUCUUUUUCUUUUAAGUGAGAGAAAGAGACCUGGGGUUGAUGAGUGAGGUUGUAGGGCAUAUCUGAGGGGAGUUGAAAGCUUUAUCAGAAUAUAUUGUUGAAGAAAAGAAUAUUUCCAGUAAGUAAAAAUUCCUGGGUUUGUUCACUUGAAAAAAAGCUUAUUGAGUUGAUAAUGGGAACUAUUUACAGAAAUGUCGACUGUUAAGAGAAUAUAAUGUGAACAAAAAUCAUGGUAAAAUAGGAGUGUUUAGCAUUCCCUAAAAUUCAUUACUAAAUGAGGUAAAGCUGCAAAAGUUGUGAAGUUAUGAUUCCUAAUUUAAGGUGAAAUUUUGACAGACCAGCUUUCUAUCAGAAGUACAUACAUUAAAUGUCUCAUGUGCAUUGGUCUACAUAGAUUGGUACCUAUCAUGUAAAAUAAGUGUGAAAGAUGCCACGCUAUGUAGAUCAACGCUCAUGACAUUCCUCCUUUUUUGUCGCCUCUGAAGGUCAUGGUAGUGUAAGUAAAAUUGUCUGAUAUGCUUCCUGAUCUUUGUUGGGACCUUGGGUCUUCAAAAACUAUAUGCUCUAAGGAGGACUUAAUUUAAACCUUUGGAACAAGUUUAAAUACGUUAAUACAAAUAUGUAAAUUAUUAAUUUUACUCCUAAUACGAACAAAUAAAAUGAAUAUAGUUUUAUAUUUUGUUUAACAAAUCUUCCAGAUAAGCAAGAGAGCAUGACAUACAGGCAUAAGAUGAUGCUUCAAUAAGAUUCUUGUAUGCUUCCUUAUGCUGUGAUAUUGUUAAUGACUUGAUUUAAAUGAGAACUUUCAUUGUACAUGUAUUAUAAAUUUCAUCCUGUAUCUUCUACUGUUUUUGAAUAGUGAUAUUUAUGUUCAUUUUAGAUGAUCUAUAGAGAUCUUUUCAUGAGGUAAACUGUUCUUGAAUUCUUAUAGUAGAUAUUGAGAAUAUUAGCAUUUGUCUUUUUACUUUUGCAAUUUUAAGACUUUGAAUUAAAAUACAACUUUUACUCCCUUUCCUUCAUACCCUCCAACCUCUCAUAUGGACCAUUUUCUAUUCCCCAUUCUUGGAUUCUUUAUCAUUAGUUGUUAUUGGUUUUAUACAUACGCACACCUACACACAUAUAAAUAUGAGAGUCUCAGCACUGCUUAAUUGUAGUUUUGCUUUACUUUUUUUUGAUUUUUUUGGUGUUGUUGGUUUUUUGGUUAUGUUUUACUUUUUUCAUUCAUUCAUUCAUUCAUUCAUUCAUAUAUUUGUCUAAGGGUUAGGGCUCAAGGAGCCAAAAUGAAUUUUAUCACUUCUAGGUAGUCAAGGUCUGAUGACCACUUGUCUUAGCUUGACUGAUUUUGGACUCAACUAAUAGAUGAGCCACAGGGCACAGAGUCAGAUUAUUUGAAAUGAGAACAGCUACCAUAAAUAUGAAUAUCAUCUUCCAAUGGCAUCUGUCUAGAUAAAGGUGGGAAUAGGAAAGUUGGGAUUUUUACUUUUUUUUUUCUUUUGUGAGAUUACUAAAUAAUUAUAGCCUGUUCUUCCCUACAAUAGUCCUCCUUGCACUUUCCAAAUUUAUAGUCUUUUUCAAUCAUUGUUAACAAACUAUUUCCUCCUAGGGAGAUUCAUGUGUAAUCCCUUACUCCCCUCCUCUGUAUAACACCUGAGUAAACAGAUUGUAAAUUUGUUACCCUUAAUUUAAUGAUUGGAUCUAUAUAGAGGUUAAUGCAUACCAUAUGUUACUAUGUGUUUCUUUUUUAACUCGCAUCGGAUGAUUUUUUUCCUAGUUCCAUCUAUUUUUCUGCAGAUCACAUGUUGUUGUUUUUUGACUAAGUUAACGCAUGUUGCAAGUUCCCCAGUUUGUAUGUUGAAAUGAAAGCUCAGGAUGAAGUGAAUUCUGGAUUGCCAUAAAAGAAUUUUAAGUAUCCUAUGGGCAGUACUGUCUUCACCAUGGUGUUUUUGACAUAAGUAGCUAUGAAAUUCACCAUGGUGGGUAAAGUAAGGCUCAUAAUGUCUCUCGUUUGUUGUGACUUCUGUGGACAGAAUAUAUACCUGCAGUUAUACUUCACAUGUAUUUCUGAUAUAUGUUGGAAAUCUGUGCAUCAAGAAAGUGUAUUCCUAAGUAGGUGCUAAUUUUAUAACCUUUACAUCAUAAGUAAGACUCCAUCCAAUAAGCCAUAUAUUCUGCAUUAUUCAGGUAUGAAGAAGUCACUUUUCCAUGUGUGUGCACAAAAUACAAUUUUGCAGAGGUACUGUGUGGACUUUGUGGCAUUCAUGUAUACAAACCAGUUAUGUUACUUUAUCACAGAAAGCACUGUAGUCACUAUCAUAGCAGACCUAUUUAAAAUAUGUUCAUGGCAUAAUCCUUAUUUUUAUUUUCUGUUGGUUACAGGAAAAAGAGUAUCAAGUACCUAAAGGAGUGUACUAACAUAAGGAAAAGAGAUCAGUUUAAUAUAUUAGAAAUGAGAACAAUUGCCAUAAAUAAAAGGCAAGCUAGAGGACAUGCUUACAGUUAUGUGUAUUAUUGUACAAUAAUUAGUUAUAUUCUAAGAUUGAAGAAUAAAUUAGGCAAGAAUUCAUGUAACAUGUAUCAUUAAUUUCACAGUAAUGAUAGAGGAUACAUUUGCAAUAUGUUUAUAUGAAGAAUAUUGUGAGCAGUGCUUUACGUAGUAUAGUGCUUUUCACAUUACACAAAAAGUGAAAGGUGCCAUACUAUGUACAGGAAGGCUUACCAUGUUCCUCAAUUCUUGUUGCUUUAUACCAUCAAUAUGUUUUAAGUGUAUUCCUUUGCUAUGGUUUUCUGGUCUUAAUUGGGCAAUUCUUCAUCUAGGUUUUAUGUUUCCUAAGGAGUAUUUCAUUUCUCCAAUAUUCCCUUGAGGAACAACUCACGGAUUUACAAACAUAAAAAUCUAUAAGACCUUUUAUGUCAACCAAAACAUUAAUAUGAUGUUAAUUAGUUUUGGUUUUCGCAGUCAUUCUAGUAAAUAUAAGGUAACUAUAAAUACAUAGGAAAUACAAUGGAAGGGACAAUUGAUUUGUAUUUCAUAGGAACUAUCAGUACAAUGUGUUCAAGCUUAUAAAGAUUGUGAGGUCAUAAAAUAUCUGGGGGAGAUUGGAUUUUUUCACUUCCUCUGACAAAUGUGACUACUGCUUGUUCUUGUCUAGCAUGCUUUAUAGCUGAGUAAGAAUACAAAGUGUUCUUUCCCUUGGCAGCUUGCAUGCUUCUUCUGAUAUCAUGAAAGCCAGUCUUCAUGGACAAAAGUCGAGAAGGGAAAAUGCAAUCAAGCUUUUCUUCUUGGUAUUGACAUUCACCUGAAGAUUUGACAGGUCAAAAACACCUGAAUUCAGAAUGAUACUGAUGAAGGAAUAUGAGUUUAUUAUUCUUUCUGUAGAAUUUACAAUUACAUCAGAUCGAGAAUCAAGACUAUUCCUCGCUUGAUCUGUCUUUGGGAUAGUAAUGAUUUCAUGUAUGUAGGUAAUGUUGAAAUCUUCCUUUCCAUAGGCACGAUGGUGCCUUAGAAGCUGGAAGAAAUGUUCAAUCUCCGAAAUCUUAAGUUACCGGAAGUAGUGAACUGCCUGGUAUAGGUGCUAGGAACCCAACCAACCUCGGUCUUCUACAGAAACAAAACUUUGCAAUUUUAUGAAGUCCCUUUUAUGUUUUGGUUUUUGAUACAGUCUCUAAUAGCUUCCAGGAGUACAGAAAAUUUGAAAUAGUUCUACCUUAAGAUGCAGCAAUAUCGCAACCCAGAUAUGCCUCAACUGAAGAAUAAAUACAGAAAAUGUAGUGGUUUUACACAAUGGAAUACUAUAUAACUAUUUAAGAAAAGCACAUGAAUUUUGCAGGCAAAUAAACAGAACUAGAAAAAAUCCUGAGUGAGAUAACCAAGGCAGAAAAGACCGUGCAUGGUAUGUAUUCAACUUUGUAAGUGGAUAUCAGCCAUAAAGUACAGAAUACUCAAGAUAUACCCUCACUAACCCCAAGAAGUUAAACAAGGAGGACCCAAAUUGGGAUGCUUGAAUCACAUGUACAAAGGGGAACACUAUUGUCAGUGGAGACAGGGAGGAAAGAAUGCGGUUGGGAGAGAGGAGGGGAGAAGAAUAUGUGUGAAGGAUCAGAUGUGAGAAAAGAAAGAGGCCCAGCAGGCCAGGAGAAUGAAUAGAAAUCUGCAUCUUUCAUGGGAUUUAGGGGCUGGUGGUAAUCUCUAGGCAGAUCCUGAGACCUAGGAGAAGGAAGGCAGCUCCCAGGAUUAUGUUUGUGUGACCUUAACUGAGAUGUCUAUCAUUGGGAAUACAGAACCUGAAGAGGCUGCCACCAGUGAAGGGAUAAUUGGACACCAACCCACCCAUAAAACUUUUGACCCUAAAUCUUCAUUUCUUAUUUAAGUAAUGUUUUUAUUAAUUCCUUACAAUUUCGUACUUGUAAUCAAGUAUAUUACGAUAAUGAAUUUUUUUCUUUGUUGUGAUGAUUAAUCCUCUUAAGUUUGAAUAAUAACCGUUUUUGCUUCGUAUGAAAUGGGCCACAUGGAAAAUCUAUGAGAUGUUCAAUAUCAUCACCUUCAGUGUAAAAUCAGACAUAUACAGACAUAGUUUAGUGGGGGUGCGAUUUAAUGUGAAGGGUAUAAUGAAGGAUUCUUAAUCAUGUACUUAUAAAAACUGUUGGAUACCAAUUGUUAAUCAAAUUGUUAAUAUGAUAUACGAGGGAUCAGUCUAUGUUACCUCAUAGUACAUAUUAAUAUAUACUGAAGUCUUCAUUUGAUGGUGACUAAAUUAUCUUGAGAUCCUGCCUUGUUCAUUUGUUAGUCUUUGGUGUCACCUGACUUAUAAGAUGAUUUUCUUCGUUAAUUCUUAAUCUCUUGAACUAAUACAGAUUUUAGGAGGUUGAAGAAGGAAGAAACAAAUCCUUACAUCUUGGAAUGAAGAUGGAAGAUAAUGGAAAUUAUGACUAUUCUUCCUGAGGAAUUAUGUAUAAAGAAAUACAUUGUCUUCGUCUCAUGUUACACUGAGAGGAAUAAUGAAAGUUAUAUUUUGAAAUCAGCUGAAACUGUGAUCUCACAUCUAAUAAUUUGUGUGCACUCAAUGCUGAGAGAAGUAGCAGUUACUUUUUACUCUUAAGUAACUGCAACAUCUCUCAGUAUUGUAAGGCUCUACAAAUGCAGGAGUGAUAACCAUAUGGAACCAUUGUGCUUCCAUAGAGAAGAUAAAUGCACUAAUUCUGGAUAAUUCUUCAUCUUAAUAUCUGACGUCAUGAUUUCAGUUCUGGAAAGGUUGGGGAACUUCAAAAGUACACUAAGAAACAUCCUAAUAGUGGAACAUAAGAGGACAGCAUCAUUCAGGAAUGUGUGGUAAAAGAAAAUAAUUUAUUAUUUAGAACUUAUUUACAAGUUACUUCAGUGUUCCAGUCCUGUUUAUUUCAAAUGUUGACAUGAAGACUGCAGAUGUUGUGGUUCUAGAGCGCCUGGGCAGUGCUUUACUCACAUGGUUGCUAAUCACGUGAAAUGUAAGUGAAAGCCACCAUGUUGGGUAAAGUAAAGCUCAUCAUGUUCCUCA